rnacentral:misc_RNA from 1 species
UCACCCGGGGCCUUUGGUAGCGCAGCUAACGCGGGUGAAGUUGACCGCCUGGGGAGUACGGUCGCAAGAUUAAAACUCAAAGGAAUUGACGGGGACCCGCACAAGCGGUGGAUGAUGUGGAUUAAUUCGAUGCAACGCGAAAAACCUUACCUACCCUUGACAUGUCUGGAAUCCCGAAGAGAUUUGGGAGUGCUCGCAAGAGAACCGGAACACAGGUGCUGCAUGGCUGUCGUCAGCUCGUGUCGUGAGAUGUUGGGUUAAGUCCCGCAACGAGCGCAACCCUUGUCAUUAGUUGCUACGAAAGGGCACCUAAUGAGACUGCCGGUGACAAACCGGAGGAAGGUGGGGAUGACGUCAAGUUCCUCAUGGCCCUUAUGGGUAGGGCUUCACACGUCAUACAAUGGUCGGGACAGAGGGUCGCUAACCCGCGAGGGGGAGCUAAUCCCAGAAACCCGAUCGUAGUCCGAUCGCAGUCUGCAACUCGACUGCGUGAAGUCGGAAUCGCUAGUAAUCGCGGAUCAGCAUGUCGCGGUGAAUACGUUCUCGGUCUUGUACACACCGCCCGUCACACCAUGGAGGUUUACCAGAAGUAGUUAGCCUAACCGUAAGGAGGGCGAUUACCACGGUAGGAUUCAUGACUGGGGUGAAGUCGUAACAAGGCA